UACGGAGGGUGCGAGCGGUAAUCGGAUUUACCGGGCGUAUAGCGCGCGUAGGUGGUUUGUUAAGUCGGAUGUGAAAGCCCAGGGCUCAACCUUGGAAUUGCAUUCGAUACUGGCAGGCUAGAGAUCGGUAGAGGACAGUGGAAUUCCAGGUGUAGCGGUGAAAUGCGUAGAGAUCUGGAGGAAUACCGGUGGCGAAGGCGGCCCCCUGGACAAAGACUGACGCUCAGGUGCGAAAGCGUGGGGAGCAAACAGG
rnacentral:misc_RNA from 1 species